rnacentral:rRNA from 1 species
UACGUAGGGGGCUAGCGUUGUCCGGAAUUAUUGGGCGUAAAGAGUGUGUAGGCGGUCCGGUAAGUCCGCUGUGAAAGUCGGGGGCUCAACCCUCGAAUGCCGGUGGAUACUGUCGGGCUAGAGUGCGGAAGAGGCGAGUGGAAUUCCUGGUGUAGCGGUGAAAUGCGCAGAUAUCAGGAGGAACACCUAUUGCGAAGGCAGCUCGCUGGGACGUAACUGACGCUGAGACGCGAAAGCGUGGGGAGCAAACAGG